rnacentral:rRNA from 1 species
UUCCGGUUGAUCCCGCCGGACCCCMCUGCUAUCGGGAUAGGACUAAGACAUGCUAGUCAAGCGCUCGCCAGCCAAAAGGUGAGUGCGGCAUACAGCUCAGUAGCACGUGGCUAACCUGCCCUUGGGACGGGGACACCCCCGGGAAACUGGGGUUAAUCCCCGAUAGGCGGAGAACUCUGGAAUGAAUCUCCACCCAAAAGGUACUUGCGCUAUGCUCGCAGGUUUCGCCCAAGGAUGGGGCCGCGACCGAUCAGGUUGUUGGUGAGGUAAUGGCUCACCAAGCCUUUUACCGGUGCGGGCCGUGAGAGCGGGAGCCCGGAGAUGGGCACUGAGACAAGGGCCCAGGCCCUACGGGGCGCAGCAGUCGCGAAAACUUUGCAAUACACGAAAGUGUGACAGGGCUAUCCCGAGUGCCAUCCGCUGAGGAAGGCUUUUACCCAGUUUAGAACGCUGGGAGAAUAAGGAGAGGGCAAGACUGGUGUCAGCCGCCGCGGUAAUACCAGCUCUUCGAGUGGUGUGGAUGUUUAUUGGGCCUAAAGCAUCCGUAGCUGGCUGGGCAAGUCCCCUGUUAAAUCCACCGAUUUAAUCGUUGGAGUGCGGGGGAUACUGUUCGGCUAGGGGACGGGAGAGGCAGACGGUAUUUUCGGGGUAGGGGUGAAAUCCUAUAAUCCCGGGAAGACCACCAGUGGCGAAGGCUGUCUGCUAGAACGCGCCUGACGGUGAGGGAUGAAAGCUGGGGGAGCGAACCGGAUUAGAUACCCGGGUAGUCCCAGCUGUAAACGAUGCAGGCUAGGUGUUUGGGCGGYCACGUGCCGCUCUAGUGCCGCAGGGAAGCCGUUAAGCCUGCCGCCUGGGGAGUACGGCCGCCAAGGCUGAAACUUAAAGGAAUUGGCGGGGGUGCACCACAAGGGGGUGAAGCUUGCGGUYUAAUUGGAUUCMACGCCGGA